rnacentral:tRNA from 1 species
GCCUGCGUGGCUCAGUCAGUUAAGCGUCUGACUUUGGCUCAGGUCAUGAUCUCAUGGUUCGUGGGUUCGAGCCCCACGUCGGGCU